rnacentral:lncRNA from 10 species
ACUCCCAUUCCUUUUGAAAACAAAGAUGGACUUUUCAAAUGAAGUUAUAGUUCAGGGACUUUGUUUUGAAUUAUUUUGUAAGACCUGAACUAAUAAAAGCCCUAUACAGAGAGACAUUCGGUAGCUAUUAUUAUUGGUUAUCUUUAAUGUGUACAAUGCUUUGAGCGUGAUGGCUCAAAAUUACUAUUCUUAGUAUUUAUAAGUUCUACUGACUAGAUUUUCAAUCUGUCAUCUCAGUUCAUAUAGUAUAUAUUAUAAAUUGAAUCAAUAAAGGUAAGGCUCAUUAGGAGAUUAUUUGCCAUGAUUAAUGAUUGUGGAAGAAAGAAAUUCAUAUUUUUUCCACAUAUUUCAUCUUAUUUUAAUAGUAAUGUCCUUAAACUUUACUAUAAAAAAAUAUAAUGUCUCCAUGUGGAGGGUAGGUAUUGUUGCCUAGUGUUGAAGAUCACAGACCUUGGAAUCUGCUUGGGUUCUAAUCCUUGGUCUGUUUCUCAUUGUCUUCUUAGGGAGCUUAUUUACCCUUUUAAAGCCUCCUCUGUAAAAGGCAUAAUGCCUAUCAUAAGUUUGCUUUGAGUAUUACAUGAGACAAUGUUGGUAAACUUUGCACAGUGCUGACACAUAGUAAGUGCUCUGUUAGCUAUUAUUAUGUAAUUUUUUUCUUAGCUUACAUAGUAAGUUCAAGGUAUAGUAAAAAAGGGAAGAAAGAAAAAGAUGGCUGAUUUUGAAAAGGAGAAAGUGAUGAAUGAAGAUUGCUUUUACAUUUUUUGACACUGGUCUUCUAAUCUUGUUUCUCUUCAUAAAUCUUGUGCACCAUUGUGAUUGCUAAGAAGAACACAAUCUAUUUAGCAAACGUUUUUGGCAUAAAAGGAAUGAUAAUUAUUACUUGACUUUUAUAUCCUUAUAGAGACCUAAGCUAAAUCUCUGACACUGACAAUAUUGACUAUUAGCCAGCUUGUUAACAGUACUAGAAAUGAAUUUGGUAGAAGCAAUUUGGUAAAUUACACACCCUUUUGGCUUUUACCCUCCGUUUAUAUCAGACUUGUGACUGACUCAGAAUGAUAUUUGGGGAGGUGAAAAAAGGUAAACAUGUUUGAGAGGAAUUAGCCAUCAGACUAGAGUGUAUUCAAAAAAGAAGAUUUAAGAAUUUUGUAAAAUAGUGGAGAGACUUGCCUCAGAAUCAUUAUAUGUGGGAAGCCUUACCCAUGAGAACAAACUUGAACAAGUAGCAAGAAUCUUGGGUAAGUAACCCUAAAGACAAUUGAAUUCAUGAUAGAGAAUUGAUGAUUGAUGAUAGGCAAUGGAAAAGAUAAAUAGAUGAGGUGUACAGUGUGUUGAAAAGAAUUUAACAGGUACUUUUUGGUUCCAUACAAAGCCAUAUUCUAUAGUAUCAAAAGAGGGAGAACAGGCAUAACGGGUAGAGAGCCUAAUUAGGGAACUGACGAGGUUAUUCUAUAAAGGAACCUGGGAUGUGUGACUUAGAAUUACUGUGAAUACUAAGGACAGGCUGGGGGCAAAGCAACUUACAACUAGGUUUUUAUUUUUAGUGUGUAUAUAGCCAUUUCUACCAUGUAUGCCUGAGGAAAAAAGUGACCACCGUAAAAAUUUUGAGUAUCUACUCAUUUUUAAGAACACUGGGAUAACUGACUAUUUAUGAAUGAUUUUUUCUAAAGUGAAGCGUCUUUUUAUUAACCACAAAGUAGCCCUUAAUCUGACAGUUGUGUGAAUUUUUGCAUAUAUGUUUUAUUGAUGUAUGAGUGGAAUAUAUGUGAUUUAUUGUUUGAAGGAAAAUCAUAAUUAUUUUUUAAAGCAAGUUUUGUUUUUCUGUUUUUAAUUUUUUUCUGGUUCCAGAUGUAUUUGGGUAUGCUUAUUUCCCGU